rnacentral:rRNA from 1 species
ACUCCUACGGGAGGCAGCAGUGGGGAAUAUUGGACAAUGGGGGCAACCCUGAUCCAGCAAUGCCGCGUGUGUGAAGAAGGCCUGCGGGUUGUAAAGCACUUUCAGUGGGGAGGAAGGCUUAAGUGUUAAUAGCGCUUAAGAUUGACGUUACCCAAAGAAGAAGCACCGGCUAACUCUGUGCCAGCAGCCGCGGUAAUACAGAGGGUGCGAGCAUUAAUCGGAAUAACUGGGCGUAAAGGGUGCGUAGGUGGUUUGGUAAGUUAGGUGUGAAAUCCCUGGGCUCAACCUGGGAAUUGCGCUUAAGACUGUCAAACUAGAGAACUGUAGAGGGAAGUGGAAUUUCCGGUGUAGCGGUGAAAUGCGUAGAUAUCGGAAGGAACACCAGUGGCGAAGGCGACUUCCUGGACAGUUACUGACACUGAGGCACGAAAGCGUGGGGAGCAAACAGGAUUAGAUACCCUGGUAGAUAGCG